UGCCAUGUGACCUUGCUGG
rnacentral:misc_RNA from 1 species